rnacentral:lncRNA from 1 species
UACAAGCAUGAGCCACUGCACCUGGCCAGAUAUUCCAUUAUUAUCAUAACUUGAAAUUUCUUUAUUACCCUAUUUUUCUAUGGCAAGCCUAUUUAAUUUUUACUUCAUUUUUUCCACUUGAGAAUUCACUCUGCACUUCAACUAAUUUCUUGUCAAUAUCUUUACUUUCUUUUAUUGUUUUCUGACACAACCAGCUCACAAAAUUUCAAUCCAUUAUCUACUCUCACUUUCAUCUUUUCUAGAUCCAAUUAUUCUCCAAAACUAUCAGAUUUAAGCAUACUCAGAUUCUUACAUCUUUAAAAGAAAAAGUCUUAUGUUCAGAACCUCCUCAUAUAUCUAGUGACUGCAUUAACUUUCUUCCUUCCUUUAAUAGCCACACUUUCUAUCUCUACAUGUUUAUUAGGUAUAAUACACAUUGCAAAACAUAGAAGAUAGAUAAUAGAUAUCUAUACACUUGUGUCUAUAUAUGUUUGUGUGUGUAUAUGUGUAUAUAUUUAUAUGUGUGUGUGUGUGUGUGUGUCUAUGUAUGCUUGAAGACAUUUUAUAAUUAGCUAUUUAUUCUUCCAAGGCAACAACUAGGACUUAUUUAGAUUUGCUUCUUCAACAUCUAAAAUAAUGCUUGAAACAUAGAAAGUACCUAAUAAACAUUGUUGCAUGAGUUAAUACUUGAUUUAAUAAAUAUGUGUUGAGGCAAUCCAAUCAGCUUGUGGCUAUAGUUUUUCAUCAUUUUAUAUGUAGAAUUAUAUUUUUAAUAUUUUUUUCUGUCUAUUAUUACUUAUCUUUCUUUGAGCUUAAUCUUGAAGUACUCUGAGAUAAGUAAAAUAUCUCUUAAGGACUUUAUUAAUUUGACAUAGUUUGGGUGAUCGUCUGUUGUUCUCUUUUUUUCUUAAUGGACUCUAGAGACUUGACAAAUCCAUCUUGUUCAAGUGUAAUUGUGGUAUCACUGGCUUUACUUUCUCACUCAGCACUAUAACAGAACUAUGAAAAGCAUAAGAAAAGUCCAAUUAGGGUUCACAUAUCCUAGAGGGAAACCAAGUCUUUUUAAUUCCAAAUGUUCUGCUUCUAGGACUAAAAAGUAGAAACCAGUUAUUAUUUUCAACAGUUACUAGUAUUAAUCAUUUUCCCUUAAAAUUAUUCCCCUUUACCUACACAUAAAGCCAAAAUACGAUUAUAAUGUUCAUAGAAUUUCAAUGGUCCACCCUCUCCUCUAUUUCUAUGGCCCUAUGUGAGAAAUACCCCUGUGAAUAGAAUAACAUAUAUCCUUCAGGAUCUCACAGAUUCAUGAAGACUCAAAAAUAAAAUGGUAAUUCACUAAUGCACUUUCAGCCAAGCCAAACUGCUCUGAGCAACCUGUGCUCUUUCACACCUAGUUAUGUUUACACUUGCUAUUGUUCCUCCUUGAAAUAUUACCACGGAGUUCCCCUGCACUUACUCAGUUACUUCCACCUGUCCUUCGAAGUUCAACUGAGAUAUUAGCUCUUCAGAGCAACUUUUACUGCUACUUCGCCUAACAGAUUUUAGUUUUUUUCCUCUGAACUUAAUUGACAUUUUGUUCCACAUUUACAAUAUCAUCGUGGUAUAAGUAUUAGUAAAUUAGUGUUUUAUUUUUGAGUCAUCAUGAAUCUUUGAGAUCCUGAAGGAUAUAUGUUAUUCUAUUCACAGUUGUAUUUCUUGCAUAGGGCCACACAAAUAGGAACCAUACUGGGAAAUGAAACCAUUAGUCUAUACUCAGCCUGGACACCAAUAAUUAAAACGUUACUGCCUAAAUCAACCUGACUUUGCUAUUACACUGUCAUUAUUAACAUGACUUUAUUUUCCUGAAAGCCUCGUGCCCAGGCAAAUGGCUUGAUUCUUCAUUAUAGGAACAUGCUGAAAACUGUAUAAAUUCUUCAAUAGAAAACAUUAACAGUUUGUGCCCUAAAAUUGUUUUUGAGGCAAAAAUCUUCUGCCUUGAAAUCUUGCUCUUGUUUCCACCAAGGGAAGCUAUUAUGGUCCUUUCCAAUCCCAAUCAAGUGUUUAUAUUGAAAGACUUGCCUUAAACCAAACUUCCAAUUCUCAAUAAAUUUCUACCUUUCCAUCCAACCUUGAGGAAAUUGUCAAAGUUAUGCAGAGGUGAUGAUCUCUUUCUCUAGUGAUAAAAGACUCAGAUUUGUCUUAUCAACAGAUUAAUUAGUUGAAUUAGAGUAAACUGAAUAUCACAUUUGUUGCUUAAAAAUGUGGGUUAAGUAAAACUCCAGAUUCUUUAUAAUAUAGUGUAUUAAAAUUUAGGUAGAUAAAAUUUUAUGAUGUUUCAGGCCCAUAGAUUUAGAUCAUUUGUAAACAAAAUCUAGUCAAUGACAUUUUAUACAUAACUAUUAUUAGUUGGCAGAAGCUCAGAUAUAGCCACAAAGUAAUAGUAGGAAAACAUUUAUUAGAUACCAACUCAGUGUCAGUUGGCCUGUGCUUUCUACAAGCUAUCUCCUUUUGCUUAGAUUUUAAAGAUUUCAGUUUAUUUAAAUCAAACUUGUAAAUCAUUUUAGACUCUUUAUAGUAUUUCCAAUUUGCGCUAAAUGGUUAACAUGCAUUUAAAAUGUAAUCAGGCCCAACACUGAUUCAUUAUCUGGCUCAAUGGUUCAUUGGUUCACUCACUCACCAUACAGCCAAAAGCAUUAUCACAGACCAGCCUGCAUUUGUCAUCAGGAGCAAACUACCAUACAAAGGUAAUGCCCACAUCAGACUUAUAUCUUUAAGCCAGGAUGAUUCAUCCACUUAUCAAGCACCUGAUAUUAGAAAUGAGCCAUCAAAACACACCAUUAUUUGUCCUAUGAACACUCUGACACACCCUCUUUUUAUCUCUAUUUGUCCAAGUCUGCAUGUAUCUUUCACUUAUGAUCAGCAAACAAGAUAAAAAAGGAUUAUGUAAAAAGCAGUUUCUCCUGAAAGAGCUAUUGCAGAAAAUUCAUGGAAGAGGUGGAGUUUGAACUGACCCAUGAAUAUGAAAUUCUCUAAUUUCUACCUUUAUGUACCUUUGGUUGUAUCUUGUCUCUCCACUUCUGGCUUUGUACGUAUCAGUUCAAGCUUGAAUUUGACCUGUCAGCUUCCUCUAUACAGAAUGUUAGCCACUUUGACCUAAACCUGCUGAUUUAAUUCUUAGCUCUUGCCUACCUGCACAUGUUGGAUUAUCUUUUAGUUAGAAAAAGAAACAGGAAAUCACAUACUCAUGUAAACUAUGUAAUUGAGCACAUGCAAUGCUAUAGAGUGAGGAGAGGGAGGACAGUGGCUUUUUCUCCUCAUUUUCUGUUCCUAGACCCCACAACAGAUGAUCUCAUCAUACAGGUCUUCUACUCCUUAAGAUAGACAAGAUUGAUGAAAGACUGGAAAUGACUUUGCCUGGACCAUGAUUCAGCGACACUGUCCCUGUGGCAAGACUAUUGGCCAGGCUCAAACGCAGUGGCUGAUCCUCACUGACUCCUCUUCCUAAGGUUGUUGUACUAGGAGCAUCUCCUAACACUACACGGACACAAUUCAAUGACAAAAAUCAGAGAAGGAAAACAAAACAAAACUUCUGGAAUGCCUCUUCAUCUGUACUGUAUCCUUGACAGAAUUCCUAUUGAGUGGUUUUCAUAUUUAACAACAGAUCCAAUUUUGUCAAAUAAAUUCUUACAUGGAACUCCAAUCCGUUGAAUUAGAAGAAAAGUUAGUAUAAGUUAUUUCAAGUUUAAUAGUUUUAGUUGUUAAUUUAUUUCUUAAUUUUGUCUUUCAGGGCACAGUGUUGAGAAAUCAUUUACACAGACAAAAAAUUGCAACUGAUUUUUAACUAUUUCUGCGUGCUAUCUUCCUACAUUUUCCAAUUAAAUUCUGAUAGUUCGACAAGAACUGAUUUCUAUUUUUCAAAAUUAUAUCACUAACUUACCAAUAUUCAACUAGUGCUUGCUUUCAAUGAUUGGUUAAUAUUGGCUCUGAAAACGUUCCUUUGCCAACAUAAAUGUUCAUUAAGAAUUUUUCAAAAAUGUCAAAAAAAUACCACCUCAGUUUCAACUAUGAAGUAACAAUUUAAUAUUUCAAAACAGUCAUAUUUAUUUUUCCUUGCUGUUAAAAUCAAACUUUAGCUUCAAUUUUAAGGCGGGCAUUCUAUAUACAUUUAAAAGUAGGUAAUUUUGUGAGUGUGAAUUGGACUUACUUAGAUUACUAAAAUUAGCAGCAAAAUAUAUAACCUGUUUCCACAACAUCUGGAGUUUAAGUAUUAACACUGUAAAAUAUUAUCUGAAUUUCUCAUAUUUUAAACUAUCAUAUGGACAAUAGAACAGAUUCCACUAUAAAAAUAAUUUUUAAAUCACUUCAAGUAGGAUUACAUGUAACUCUGAAUGAAAUGCAGUUAAAACAUAAAACAUAAUAAAAAUAUAACUAGUGUAGUGUUUGCUGACAGUAUUUGCCUAGCAAAUUUCCUUAAUCAGGGAUCUUUUUAAUGAAACACAAUGAUGGUUCAUACAUAAUAAAAGUCUCAUACGUGCUUUUUUGCUUAGAUAGUUUUCAAAUUUUUAAUACAGCUUUCAUUACACUUUUGAUACCUUACUUGAUAAAAUAUUUUUAAACGCAAAUGCUUAAACACUGUAAAUAUUUUUUCUUAAUUUUUAUGAUUACCUGGAAAAUAAUGAGAACAGUAACAUCUGAAGCCUCUUCCACCUGAAUGAUGAAGAUGUCAAAUAUUCUCAGCCUCAAAUUAAUGUGUCAAGUACAUUGGAUUUGUAUCUUUGUGUUCUUUCCUAUCUUCUUAAAAAAUUGUGCUAAUUACAUUUUCAAAAAUUGUUGUUUUUCUAACAUAUUGGUUACAAUAUCAAUAUAUGUGGCUUAAUAAAAUAGUCUCUGAGAACAUGUGCUUUUCUGAAUGUGUCAGGUGGCAGCUUGCUUUUAACAAUAUUGUAAGUUUUUAUAAUCAGAUUUAAAUUGUGUUUAUCUAAAAUAUUUAUGAACAUUGAAUUUAUGGUGAACAAAGCAGAGUCUUCUUUCAAAUCGCAUGUAGUUAUGUUUCAAAUAUGUGAAAUUUUUGAAUACUUCAUUAAAAUUUUAUUUUAAUAGAACACAUUAAAU